GUCUACGGCCAUACCACCCUGAACGCGCCCGAUCUCGUCUGAUCUCGGAAGCUAAGCAGGGUCGGGCCUGGUUAGUACUUGGAUGGGAAACUUAAAUAUCCUUUCCAGAAUAACAAAACAAGAGGAUGCUGAAC
rnacentral:rRNA from 1 species